UACCAGAUUUUUCAGAUAACAUGCCACAUUUUAGGUCAGAUCAGAUGAUCGGGGCUUGAAUUAUGAAUCCACAUUAAAUGUUUCCUGAUUUAUUUCAAUUAAUAAUAAGAACUUAUUUUGCUUUAUAUAUAUAUAUAUAUUGGCUGAUCAUUUUUAUCAGCCAAGAAGAGAGGAGGGAAAAACUCUAUAGUUUGCAUUAUGAAUCGUUUGUGACCUUAAUGUAAGGAUUAUAAGAUUGGUGAUCUUAAUCCAGGGGUCAACCAA
rnacentral:misc_RNA from 1 species